AAUGGGUCAGCGACUUAUAUUCUGUAGCAAGGUUAACCGAAUAGGGGAGCCGAAGGGAAACCGAGUCUUAACUGGGCGUUAAGUUGCAGGGUAUAGACCCGAAACCCGGUGAUCUAGCCAUGGGCAGGUUGAAGGUUGGGUAACACUAACUGGAGGACCGAACCGACUAAUGUUGAAAAAUUAGCGGAUGACUUGUGGCUGGGGGUGAAAGGCCAAUCAAACCGGGAGAUAGCUGGUUCUCCCCGAAAGCUAUUUAGGUAGCGCCUCGUGAAUUCAUCUCCGGGGGUAGAGCACUGUUUCGGCAAGGGGGUCAUCCCGACUUACCAACCCGAUGCAAACUGCGAAUACCGGAGAAUGUUAUCACGGGAGACACACGGCGGGUGCUAACGUCCGUCGUGAAGAGGGAAACAACCCAGACCGCCAGCUAAGGUCCCAAAGUCAUGGUUAAGUGGGAAACGAUGUGGGAAGGCCCAGACAGCCAGGAUGUUGGCUUAGAAGCAGCCAUCAUUUAAAGAAAGCGUAAUAGCUCACUGGUCGAGUCGGCCUGCGCGGAAGAUGUAACGGGGCUAAACCAUGCACCGAAGCUGCGGCAGCGACACUGUGUGUUGUUGGGUAGGGGAGCGUUCUGUAAGCCUGUGAAGGUGUGCUGUGAGGCAUGCUGGAGGUAUCAGAAGUGCGAAUGCUGACAUAAGUAACGAUAAAGCGGGUGAAAAGCCCGCUCGCCGGAAGACCAAGGGUUCCUGUCCAACGUUAAUCGGGGCAGGGUGAGUCGACCCCUAAGGCGAGGCCGAAAGGCGUAGUCGAUGGGAAACAGGUUAAUAUUCCUGUACUUGGUGUUACUGCGAAGGGGGGACGGAGAAGGCUAUGUUGGCCGGGCGACGGUUGUCCCGGUUUAAGCGUGUAGGCUGGUUUUCCAGGCAAAUCCGGAAAAUCAAGGCUGAGGCGUGAUGACGAGGCACUACGGUGCUGAAGCAACAAAUGCCCUGCUUCCAGGAAAAGCCUCUAAGCAUCAGGUAACAUCAAAUCGUACCCCAAACCGACACAGGUGGUCAGGUAGAGAAUACCAAGGCGCUUGAGAGAACUCGGGUGAAGGAACUAGGCAAAAUGGUGCCGUAACUUCGGGAGAAGGCACGCUGAUAUGUAGGUGAAGUCCCUCGCGGAUGGAGCUGAAAUCAGUCGAAGAUACCAGCUGGCUGCAACUGUUUAUUAAAAACACAGCACUGUGCAAACACGAAAGUGGACGUAUACGGUGUGACGCCUGCCCGGUGCCGGAAGGUUAAUUGAUGGGGUCAGCGCAAGCGAAGCUCUUGAUCGAAGCCCCGGUAAACGGCGGCCGUAACUAUAACGGUCCUAAGGUAGCGAAAUUCCUUGUCGGGUAAGUUCCGACCUGCACGAAUGGCGUAAUGAUGGCCAGGCUGUCUCCACCCGAGACUCAGUGAAAUUGAACUCGCUGUGAAGAUGCAGUGUACCCGCGGCAAGACGGAAAGACCCCGUGAACCUUUACUAUAGCUUGACACUGAACAUUGAGCCUUGAUGUGUAGGAUAGGUGGGAGGCUUUGAAGUGUGGACGCCAGUCUGCAUGGAGCCGACCUUGAAAUACCACCCUUUAAUGUUUGAUGUUCUAACGUGGACCCGUGAUCCGGGUUGCGGACAGUGUCUGGUGGGUAGUUUGACUGGGGCGGUCUCCUCCUAAAGAGUAACGGAGGAGCACGAAGGUUGGCUAAUCCUGGUCGGACAUCAGGAGGUUAGUGCAAUGGCAUAAGCCAGCUUGACUGCGAGCGUGACGGCGCGAGCAGGUGCGAAAGCAGGUCAUAGUGAUCCGGUGGUUCUGAAUGGAAGGGCCAUCGCUCAACGGAUAAAAGGUACUCCGGGGAUAACAGGCUGAUACCGCCCAAGAGUUCAUAUCGACGGCGGUGUUUGGCACCUCGAUGUCGGCUCAUCACAUCCUGGGGCUGAAGUAGGUCCCAAGGGUAUGGCUGUUCGCCAUUUAAAGUGGUACGCGAGCUGGGUUUAGAACGUCGUGAGACAGUUCGGUCCCUAUCUGCCGUGGGCGCUGGAGAACUGAGGGGGGCUGCUCCUAGUACGAGAGGACCGGAGUGGACGCAUCACUGGUGUUCGGGUUGUCAUGCCAAUGGCACUGCCCGGUAGCUAAAUGCGGAAGAGAUAAGUGCUGAAAGCAUCUAAGCACGAAACUUGCCCCGAGAUGAGUUCUCCCUGACCCUUUAAGGGUCCUGAAGGAACGUUGAAGACGACGACGUUGAUAGGCCGGGUGUGUAAGCGCAGCGAUGCGUUGAGCUAACCGGUACUAAUGAACCGUGAGGCUUAACCUU
rnacentral:rRNA from 1 species